rnacentral:rRNA from 1 species
GUUUUGAUCAUGGCUCAGAUUGAACGCUGGCGGCAUGCUUUACACAUGCAAGUCGAACGGCAGCGCGGGGCAACCUGGCGGCGAGUGGCGAACGGGUGAGUAAUAUAUCGGAACGUACCCAAGAGUGGGGGAUAACGCAGCGAAAGUUGCGCUAAUACCGCAUACGAUCUAAGGAUGAAAGCAGGGGACCGCAAGGCCUUGUGCUCCUGGAGCGGCCGAUAUCUGAUUAGCUAGUUGGUAGGGUAAAGGCCUACCAAGGCUACGAUCAGUAGCUGGUCUGAGAGGACGACCAGCCACACUGGAACUGAGACACGGUCCAGACUCCUACGGGAGGCAGCAGUGGGGAAUUUUGGACAAUGGGCGCAAGCCUGAUCCAGCAAUGCCGCGUGAGUGAAGAAGGCCUUCGGGUUGUAAAGCUCUUUUGUCAGGGAAGAAACGGUGGGGGCUAAUAUCCCUCACUAAUGACGGUACCUAAGAAAUAAGCACCGGCUAACUAAAU